AUACGGAGGGUGCAAGCGUUAAUCGGAAUUAUUGGGCGUAAAGCGUGCGCAGGCGGUUUGUUAAGUCAGAUGUGAAAGCCCCGGGCUCAACCUGGGAACUGCAUUUGAAACUGGCAAACUAGAGUGUGGUAGAGGGAAGUGGAAUUCCUCAUGUAGCGGUGAAAUGCGUAGAUAUGAGGAGGAACACCAGUGGCGAAGGCGACUUCCUGGACCAACACUGACGCUCAUGUACGAAAGCGUGGGUAGCAAACAGGAUUAGAAACCCGGGUAGUCC
rnacentral:rRNA from 1 species